rnacentral:rRNA from 1 species
UACGAAGGGUGCAAGCGUUACUCGGAAUUACUGGGCGUAAAGGGUGCGUAGGUGGUUGUUUAAGUCUGUUGUGAAAGCCCCGGGCUCAACCUGGGAAUGGCAAUGGAUACUGGACAGCUAGAGUGCGGUAGGGGGUAGUGGAAUUCCCGGUGUAGCAGUGAAAUGCGUAGAGAUCGGGAGGAACACCAGUGGCGAAGGCGGCUACCUGGACCAGCACUGACACUGAAGCACGAAAGCGUGGGGAGCAAACAGG